CGUUAACUUGGUUAUUUUUGUAAAGUAGUUGCAAAACUAGUUUCAACACCCUGGCUGCAAGGGAUAGUGGCAAGAAGAUGAUUCAUUUCUUUGCUAAAUGUAGGUCUGGGCCUCUCUCUUUUGCACAAUGCAUUUAAGUGAAAUAAUGAUUGGAGCAAGAUAAGGCAUUGUUCAGUUCUUGAAAUAUAGUGUAAAGGGACAUCUAUCUGGAAACCCCUCUGUAUCUUCCACUGGAUGUCUUUGGAAGCACAUGGCAGGUCCAAAACAUGAAACACAGAUCCAAAAAUCCAACAGUGUUUGUGCUGCACCUAGUCUUUCUCUUCACAGUUUCCUGGAAAAAGAGAUUGCAGUCCUACUUGGUUUGGUUUGUUGUUUUUUUUAAGAAAGCGUUUAUAAUGGGAGCACUACUUGCUCCUUAAUAUUCAGCUCCUAUUUGAAUGCUGACAUCCCCUACUGAAAACAGGGUGCCUGAUGUUUUUUGUCCUACUGAAACUUACACAAGUAAGUCACAUUGAGUAGGCCACAUUGAGUUACUCACACAGGUAAAGUUUGGCAUAUCUGCUUAUUUUUC
rnacentral:lncRNA from 12 species